rnacentral:rRNA from 1 species
CAUAGCUUAAUGAGUGUAUUAAGUUUCUUCUGCUCAAUGAGUUAAAUAGCCGCAGUAAUCUGACUGUGCUAAGGUAGCAUAAUAAAUUGUCCAUUAAUUGUGGUCUAGUAUGAAAGGAAAAUAUGUAAUCUGUCUUUACUACUGUUAUAUAACUUACUUAUUAGGUGCAAAUUCCUAUUUUUUUUGAAAGACGAGAAGACCCUUAGAAUUUUUAUAAUUUUUGUUGGGGCGACACGUUAUCAAAUAACAUAACGGAAAAUUUUACAAGUCCAGUGAGAUAUAAUUACCUGAGGGAUAACAGCAUAAUUUUAAGAUUAUGACCUCGAUGUUGGAUUAGGAUAUACAGGCAAGCAGUCUGUCUUGUUCUGUUCGAACCCUACGUGAU